rnacentral:rRNA from 1 species
GAUGAACGCUGGCGGCGUGCCUAAUACAUGCAAGUCGAGCGAACAGACGAGGAGCUUGCUCCUCUGACGUUAGCGGCGGACGGGUGAGUAACACGUGGAUAACCUACCUAUAAGACUGGGAUAACUUCGGGAAACCGGAGCUAAUACCGGAUAAUAUAUUGAACCGCAUGGUUCAAUAGUGAAAGACGGUUUUGCUGUCACUUAUAGAUGGAUCCGCGCCGCAUUAGCUAGUUGGUAAGGUAACGGCUUACCAAGGCAACGAUGCGUAGCCGACCUGAGAGGGGGAUCGGCCACACGGGAACUGAGAACCGGUCCAAACUCCUACGGGAGGCAGCAGUAGGGAAUUUUCCGAAAGGGGCGAAAGCUUGACGGAGCAACCCCGCGGGAGUGAUGAAGGUUUUCGGAUCGUAAAACUUUUUUAUUAGGGAAGAAAAAAUGUGUAAGUAACGAUGCACGUUUUGACGGUACCUAAACAGAAAGCCCCGGCUAACUACGU